ACUAAAAAUACAAAGAAGUUAGCUAGGGUGGUGGUGGUUGGCACCUGUAAUACCAGCUACUCGGGAGGCUGAGGCAGAGAAUUGCUUGAACCCAGAAGGCGGAGGUUGCAGUGAGCCGAGAUUGUGCCACAGCACUCCAGCCUGGGUGACAGAGUGAGAAUCCGUCUCAAAAAAAGUCAUAAUAAAAUAAAAAAAUAAAUGAGUCUUAAAAGAUAGAAAGGAAGGCAUUGAAUACUAGAACCAAAAAAAAAAGAUGCACAUUCUUUCCAAUUUGUCAUUAGGUGUACCAAAGUGAUUCAUAUAGUUAGAAUCUAUAUAGUUAGUAUAUGUGUAUGUAUGUAUCCAGCUAUAUGCAAAAAGAAAACAAAAAAACAAACAACAACAACAAUAAACAUUUAGGGAAAAAUCAGAGAACACGGUAUUUGGAACCAGGCUGCAUUAGUCAGGUUCUCCAGAGAAGUAGAACCAAUAGGCUAUUGAGUUAGUUAUUAUAAGAAACUUGCUCAUGUGAUCACAGAGCCUGAGAAUUCCAAAGAUGUACAGUUUGCAAGUUAGGGAUCCAGGAGAGCUGAUGGUAUAGUUCAGUCUGAAAGCUGGCAGGAAUAAGACCCAAGAAAGGCUGAUGUCUUAGUUUGAGCCUGAAGGCAGGAGAAGACAGAUGUCCCAGCUCAAAGCAGUCACACAGGACCUUUACUCAGCCUUUUUGUUCUAUUUAGGUCUUCAAUUUAUUGGAUGAGGCCCACCCCCAUUAGAGAGGUUAAUCUGUUUUACUCAGUCUACAGAUUCAAAUAUUAAUCUUAUCAAGAAAUACUCUCAAAGAUACACCAGAAUAACAUUUGAACAAAUGGGCAUUUUGGGGCCUAGUCAAGUUGCUACAAAAAAUUAAUCAUUAUGGCUACAUUUCUUUUUAAAUAUAGGGUAAGUCUCUACAUUCACUACCACUUAUCUCAACUUCGGUAUACAGAAAGUGCAAUAAAUGUGAAUGAUGUAACAUUUUCUUUGUUACAUACAAGUAAAAAAAGGUAGAAUUUGAUAAUACUUGUUUCUUUGGCUUUCUUGCUUAAAGGCACAUAAUGGGACUGCUUUUCCUUUUACUCUCUGUUUAGUCUUCUCUCAUGUUACAUAUUACUAUUUGCAUGUUUUAUUAUUAUAUUUUGGGCCAUUUUCUUGGAUUUAAAGUUUACUGAGGUUAGAAAACAUGCUGCAAUAUGUAUUUCUAUUUUGUUACAAUGCCUAAAAGAAUUCACAUACUUUGGGUUCAGUCACUCUUGCAGGUUAAUUUUUGCGGUAAGUAAAUAUUUGGUGGUAGAAAUUAAUUUUGCUUCUGUAUUGUAUGGAGGUUGAUGACACAUGAGGAUUUUGCUGUGUAGUCAGUAUUUCUAGACACUGAACUUUCCAUUGGGUAUUCAGGAGUCCAGUAUUGCAUUACUACCAUCUUUUCUCCCUUUGAACAGUUUUCUGGAAUCUUCACUUGUGAUGUAUUCCUAAUCCUAUAUUCUCUUUCUGGUUCUUGGUCUGAAACUUUUUUCCACACACAAAAAUUUAGAAUCAGAUUGGCAAGAUGACUCAAACCCAAGGUCUCCAGGCGUCAUCUGUUGGAUCAACAUGAUGUUGCUAAGGUAAUGGCUGUAAUAUAAAGCAUAAUGUUACAU
rnacentral:lncRNA from 10 species